GAAGCGGCAACAGCUCAAAUUUGAAAUCUGGCGCAAGCCCGAGUUGUAAUUUGUAGAGGAUGCUUCAGGGCAGCGGCCGGUCUAAGUUCCUUGGAACAGGACGUCAUAGAGGGUGAGAAUCCCGUAUGCGACCGGUUGGCACCCGUCACGUAGCUCCUUCGACGAGUCGAGUUGUUUGGGAAUGCAGCUCUAAAUGGGAGGUAAAUUUCUUCUAAAGCUAAAUACCGGCCAGAGACCGAUAGCGCACAAGUAGAGUGAUCGAAAGAUGAAAAGCACUUUGGAAAGAGAGUUAAAAAGCACGUGAAAUUGUUGAAAGGGAAGCGCAUGCAACCAGACUUGUCGGCGGUGUUCCGCCGGUCUUCUGACCGGUCUACUCGCCGCCGGCAGGCCAGCAUCAUCUGGGCGCGCCGGACAAAGGCGCGGGGAAUGUGGCUCCUCGGAGUGUUAUAGCCCCGCGCACAAUACGGCGCCGCUCGGGUGAGGUCCGCGCUUCGGCUAGGAUGCUGGCGUAAUGGUUGUCUGCGGCCCGUCUUGAAACACGGACCAAGGAGUCUAACAUCUAUGCGAGUGUUCGGGUGUCAAACCCCUACGCGGAAUGAAAGUGAACGGAGGUGGGAAGCGCAAGCUGCACCAUCGACCGAUCCUGAUGUCUUCGGAUGGAUUUGAGUAAGAGCAUAGCUGUUGGGACCCGAAAGAUGGUGAACUAUGCCUGAAUAGGGUGAAGCCAGAGGAAACUCUGGUG
rnacentral:rRNA from 1 species